rnacentral:rRNA from 1 species
AGAGUUUGAUCCUGGCUCAGAUUGAACGCUGGCGGCAGGCCUAACACAUGCAAGUCGAACGGUAACAGGAAGAAGCUUGCUUCUUUGCUGACGAGUGGCGGACGGGUGAGUAAUGUCUGGGAAACUGCCUGAUGGAGGGGGAUAACUACUGGAAACGGUAGCUAAUACCGCAUAACGUCGCAAGACCAAAAAGGGGGACCUUCGGGCCUCUUGCCAUCGGAUGUGCCCAGAUGGGAUUAGCUAGUAGGUGGGGUAACGGCUCACCUAGGCGACGAUCCCUAGCUGGUCUGAGAGGAUGACCAGCCACACUGGACACGGUCCAGACUCCUACGGGAGGCAGCAGUGGGGAAUAUUGCACAAUGGGCGCAAGCCUGAUGCAGCCAUGCCGCGUGUAUGAAGAAGGCCUUCGGGUUGUAAAGUACUUUCAGCGGGGAGGAAGGGAGUAAAGUUAAUACCUUUGCUCAUUGACGUUACCCGCAGAAGAAGCACCGGCUAACUCCGUGCCAGCAGCCGCGGUAAUACGGAGGGUGCAAGCGUUAAUCGGAAUUACUGGGCGUAAAGCGCACGCAGGCGGUUUGUUAAGUCAGAUGUGAAAUCCCCGGGCUCAACCUGGGAACUGCAUCUGAUACUGGCAAGCUUGAGUCUCGUAGAGGGGGGUAGAAUUCCAGGUGUAGCGGUGAAAUGCGUAGA